CCUACGGGGGGCAGCAGUAGGGAAUCUUCCACAAUGGACGAAAGUCUGAUGGAGCAACGUCGCGUGUGUGAUGAAGGGUUUCGGCUCGUAAAACACUGUUGUAAGAGAAGAAUGACAUUGAGAGUAACUGUUCAGUGUGUGACGGUAUCUUACGAGAAAGGAACGGCUAAAUACGUGCCAGCAGCCGCGGUAAUACGUAUGUUGCAAGCGUUAUCCGGAAUUAUUGGGCGUAAAGCGAGCGCAGAUGGUUCGUUAAGUUCGAAGUGAAAUCCCCCAGCUUAACUGGGGAAGUGCUUUGAAAACUGGAGAACUUGAGUGCAGUAGAGGAGAGUGGAACUCCAUGUGUAGCGGUGAAAUGCGUAGAUAUAUGGAAGAACACCAGUGGCGAAGGCGACUAUCUGGACUGUAACUGACAUUGAGGCUCGAAAGUGUGGGGAGCAAACAGGAUUAGAUACCCCUGUAGUC
rnacentral:rRNA from 1 species